AUUGAACGCUGGCGGCAGGCCUAACACAUGCAAGUCGAGCGGAUGAAGGGAGCUUGCUCCUGGAUUCAGCGGCGGACGGGUGAGUAAUGCCUAUGAAUCUGCCUGUUAGUGGGUGAUAACGUCCGGAAACGGGCGCUAAUACCGCAUACGUCCUGAGGGAGAAAGUGGGUGAUCUUCGGACCUCACGCUAUCAGAUGAUCCUAGGUCGGAUUAGCUAGUUGGUGGGGUAAAGGCCUACCAAGGCGACGAUCCGUAACUGGUCUGAGAGGAUGAUCAGUCACACUGGAACUGAGACACGGUCCAGACUCCUACGGGAGGCAGCAGUGGGGAAUAUUGGACAAUGGGCGAAAGCCUGAUCCAGACAUGCCGCGUGUGUGAAGAAGGUCUUCGGAUUGUAAAGCACUUUAAGUUGGGAGGAAGGGCAGUAAGUUAAUACCUUGCUGUUUUGACGUUACCAACAGAAUAAGCACCGGCUAACUUCGUG
rnacentral:rRNA from 1 species